rnacentral:rRNA from 1 species
CCUACGGGUGGCAGCAGUGGGGAAUAUUGGUCAAUGGGCGAAAGCCUGACCCAGCCACGCCGCGUGAGGGAAGAAGGCUUUCUGGUUGUAAACUUCUUUUGACAGGGAAGAGCAGCAGACGGUACCUGUCGAAUAAGCCACGGCUAACUACGUGCCAGCAGCCGCGGUAAUACGUAGGUGGCACGCGUUGUCCGGAUUUACUGGGUGUAAAGGGCGUGUAGCCGGGCUGACAAGUCCGAUGUGAAAUCCGGGGGACCAAACCCCGACCUGCCUUUGAAACUGUUGGUCUUGAGUAUCGGAGAGGCACGCGGAAUUCGUAGUGUAGCGGGGAAAUGCGUAGAUAUUAGGAGGAAUACUGAUUGCGAAGGCGACCUGCUAGAACAUAACUGACGCUGAUGCGCGAAAGCGUGGGGAGCAAACAGGAUUAGAUACCCGUGUAGUC